GAAAAGUUGAAAGGGAAGAAUGCUGAGUUGGAGCAAAUCGAUGAAAUUCAUGGGAGUGCUGUAUUGCAAAUCCAAGAGCAGCACAGGAAUACACUGGAGAAACUUGGAGAGACUGUUGCUGACUUCAAAAGCUACAAGAAGACAACAGCUGAAGAAAU